rnacentral:rRNA from 1 species
UACGUAGGGGGCAAGCGUUGUCCGGAUUUAUUGGGCGUAAAGAGCGUGUAGGCGGCCACACAGGUCUGCUGUGAAGACUCGAGGCUCAACCUCGAGCUGUCGGUGGAAACCGUGUGGCUGGAGUGCGGCAGAGGGGGAUGGAAUUCCGCGUGUAGCAGUGAAAUGCGUAGAUAUGCGGAGGAACACCGAUGGCGAAGGCAAUCCCCUGGGCCUGCACUGACGCUCAUGCACGAAAGCGUGGGGAGCAAACAGG